UACGAAGGGUGCAAGCGUUACUCGGAAUUACUGGGCGUAAAGCGUGCGUAGGUGGUUUGUUAAGUCUGUUGUGAAAGCCCCGGGCUCAACCUGGGAAUGGCAAUGGAUACUGGCAGGCUAGAGUGCGGUAGAGGGUAGUGGAAUUCCCGGUGUAGCGGUGAAAUGCGUAGAGAUCGGGAGGAACACCAGUGGCGAAGGCGGCUACCUGGACCAGCACUGACACUGAAGCACGAAAGCGUGGGGAGCAAACAGG
rnacentral:rRNA from 1 species